AUGACAGCGCAGAUGCUACUUUUUGUAAUGCUCUUGCUAGGGAUUCAAGACACCAGUGGGCAGAUUGUGUUGACUCAGUCUCCAGAGUCUCUCUCGGUCCUCCCUGGAGAAACUGUUACUAUCAAAUGCCUGUCUGAUACAGACAUUGAUGAUGACAUGAACUGGUACCAGCAGAAAUCCGGAGCUGCUCCUAAGCUCCUUAUCUAUGAAGUUUCUAAUCGCCUAACGGGGGUCCCAGCCAGGUUCAGCAGCAGCGGCUAUGGGACAGAUUUCACUUUCACCAUCAGCAGUGUUGAAGAUGAUGAUGCUGGAGAUUAUUACUGUCAGCAAG